GGGGUGCAACACGAGGACUUCCCAGGAGGUCACCCAUCCUAGUACUACUCUCGCCCAAGCACGCUUGACUGCGGAGUUCUGAUGGGAUCCGGUGCAUUAGUGCUGGUAUGAUCGCACCC
rnacentral:rRNA from 1 species